CGUACGAAAUGGCAAAGUUAUCGAAAGAUAAUGGCGCAAAGCUAAAGGGGCUAAAGCAAUAUUUGCAAAGCCAGCCAGCUAUCGAA
rnacentral:ncRNA from 1 species